rnacentral:rRNA from 1 species
GACGAACGCUGGCGGUGUGCUUAACACAUGCAAGUCGAACGGUAAGGCCCUUUCGGGGGUGCAUGAGUGGCGAACGGGUGGGUAACACGCGAGUAACCUGCCUUCAUCUCAGGGAUAACUGACGGCAACGGUUGCUGAUUAUGGACAUGAGCUUGCACGGCCUCUUGUGGGUUGGUAAGAUUUUUUUGGUUGGGGAUGGUCUAGUCGCCUAUCAGCUUGUUGGUGGGGUAGUGGCGGACCAAGGAUUCGUCGGGUAGCCGGCCUGAGAGGGCGGCCGGCCACAAUGGGACUGAGAUACGGCCCAAGCUCCUACGGGGGGCAGCAGGUGGGAAUAUUGCACCAUGGACCGGAGUCUGAUGCAGCAACGGCGCGGUCGGGAAUACGGCCUUCGGGUUGGAAACCGCUUUCAAUUUGUACGGAGCUUUUUGUGACGGUAGCAGGAGAAGAAGCACCGGCUAACUACGUG